AAGGCCUUGCGCGAUUGGAGCGGCCGAUGUCGGAUUAGCUUGUUGGCGGGGUAAAAGCCCACCAAGGCGACGAUCCGUAGCUGGUUUGAGAGAACGACCAGCCACACUGGGACUGAGACACGGCCCAGACUCCUACGGGAGGCAGCAGUGGGGAAUUUUGGACAAUGGGGGCAACCCUGAUCCAGCCAUGCCGCGUGUGUGAAGAAGGCCUUCGGGUUGUAAAGCACUUUCGGACGGAACGAAAUCGCACGGGCGAAUACCCCGUGUGGAUGACGGUACUGUAAGAAGAAGCACCGGCUAACUACGUGCCAGCAGCCGCGGUAAUACGUAGGGUGCGAGCGUUAAUCGGAAUUACUGGGCGUAAAGCGUGCGCAGGCGGCUUCGCAAGUCAGACGUGAAAUCCCCGGGCUUAACCUGGGAAUG
rnacentral:rRNA from 1 species